rnacentral:tRNA from 1 species
AAAGGGAGACCUAAUUCAGGUAUAAGACGAAAAAAAAGUAGUCCCUACCAAGAAUCAAUCCCAAAAGGUCGGAACGAGGUAUGAGGCUUUCAAACUAGGUUCUGGGUUCAUAAAAGACCUGAAUCAGGAACAAGGGCUAUUAGCUCAGGUGGUUAGAGCGCACCCCUGAUAAGGGUGAGGUCCCUGGUUCGAGUCCAGGAUGGCCCACCUGCACAGGUGGCAAAAACAAAAGAAGCGAGGAAUCAGCACCUUAUCUUAUAUACAUAUAUAAGAGAGAAUGCUGGCUCUGAGUACAGAGUCCAGAGGAACCUUGAAAACUGCAUAGAGCUAGGUGAAAAAGCCAAAAAAGAAGACCGCAAG